rnacentral:rRNA from 1 species
CGACAUUUUGAACGCAUAUCGCAGUCCAUGCUGUUAUGUACUUUAAUUUUUAAUUAGAGUGCUGCUUGGACUACAUAUG